rfam:Bombyx mori DNA, contig: Bm_scaf101_contig36042, strain: p50T/Dazao, build 2, whole genome shotgun sequence.
UUAUCUCAUAUUUGUAUGGAAUGAGAUCGUUUGCGUACGUUUGCCGCUAGGGGCGCUGUUCCAACUGCAUACAAAAUUGGGUUA